CUGUCACUCCGGACCGGAUACAAAAGAAGAAACACGAAAAUAAUACGCGAAAUGCCGCGAUGCCCAGCGCCACGCGGUGGCUGAGCUAAGAAGCUCAAAGUUGGAUGACGAAAAUAAAAAAUACUCGGAUCAAACGAUUCGUUCCAAGUGAAAAGAUUUUCGAGCCGAAUCGGAGAGGUUCUCCAGCAACUCCGUCCGGGAAUAAAAUCGAAGCGAUACAAGCAACUGGACCGGAACAAAGGAACAAAAUCGUUCCGCCAUAAAAAUUAAAGGCCAAAAAGGAGGAGUUGAUUAUUGCCCGGAAUCUGAGCGGCGCUCUUUUAUAACGGGUCCGAAGAUGCUGCACAGGAGAGACGGAAUAAGACCGAGUAGAUCGGUCGCGCGGCAACAUUGCUUCUGAACACACUCGAUACUGGAGGCUUCGUCCGUGGAGUAUGGAGAAGAGCGAUUGCAAAGUACACCUGCUUAUUCGGAGAGGAUGCGUGCUUUGGGGGGGCAAACUCAAAGGUCAGCCGGUGGGAGUACACGACGCGGAUGCCGGAUGGAACUAUUGAAAGCAACGAACCUUUGAGGAGGGCUUCGGUUUUGAAGAAAUCUCCGUUGUCGCGGGGAGCGUCGCGACUUUGUGGAUCCUCGAUCGUAACCGAUUCGUGGGACUCGGCGCCGGGACGUUGGUGGAUCUUGUCCUGGCCGCGGACUUGUAACUGGCUUUCGCAUUCGCUGGAGAAUCGUCGAGGCUCGGUAUCGAGGCGUAAGCGGGAGGAGGCUUGC
rnacentral:lncRNA from 1 species